CAACGAUAUCACAUUGAAACACUGGUUCUUGCGUGAUAACUGAAGUUAAGCAAUAUCAAGCCUGGUCAGUACUUAGAUGGGUGACUGCUUGGGAAUACCAGGUGCUGUAAG